CAGUAGCCGCGGGAAUACGUAGGUGGCAAGCGUUGUCCGGAAUUAUUGGGCGUAAAGGGCUCGCAGGCGGUUUCUUAAGUCUGAUGUGAAAGCCCCCGGCUCAACCGGGGAGGGUCAUUGGAAACUGGGAAACUUGAGUGCAGAAGAGGAGAGUGGAAUUCCACGUGUAGCGGUGAGAUGCGUAGAGAUGUGGAGGAACACCAGUGGCGAAGGCGACUCUCUGGUCUGUAACUGACGCUGAGGAGCGAAAGCGUGGGGAGCGAACAGGAUUAGAUACCCCCGUAGUCCCUGUCUCUUAUAA
rnacentral:rRNA from 1 species